rnacentral:pre_miRNA from 1 species
UGUCUACUUCCUCCGUUCCAAAUUACUCGUCGCAGAAAUGGAUGUAUCUAGAACUAAAAUACAUCUAGACACAUCUAUACCCACGACAAGUAAUUUGGAACGGAGGGAGUAGCAU